ACAGCAGUCGCCGCGGGAAUACGAAGGGGGCUAGCGUUGUUCGGAAUCACUGGGCGUAAAGGGUGCGUAGGCGGAAUCUUAAGUCAGGGGUGAAAUCCCGAGGCUCAACCUCGGAACUGCCUUUGAUACUGGGGUCCUUGAGUCCGGAAGAGGUGAGUGGAACUGCGAGUGUAGAGGUGAAAUUCGUAGAUAUUCGCAAGAACACCGGUGGCGAAGGCGGCUCACUGGUCCGGAACUGACGCUGAGGCACGACAGCGUGGGGAGCAAACAGGAUUAGAUACCCCAGUAGUCCCUGUCUCUUAUAC
rnacentral:rRNA from 1 species